rnacentral:rRNA from 1 species
AGUGAAUAGAUACCCAGGUAGUCCACGCCGUAAACUAUGGAUGCUAGCUGUUACCAGUAUCGACCCUGGUAGUAGCGAAAGCUACGCGUUAAGCAUCCCGCCUGUGGAGUACGGUCGCAAGACUAAAACAUAAAGGAAUUGACGGGGACCCGCACAAGCGGUGGAGCGUGUUGUUUAAUUCGACGAUAAGCGAAGAACCUUACCCAGGCUUGACAUCCUCGGAAGCACUCCGAAAGGAGCGUGUGCCGCAAGGAACCGAGUGACAGGUGCUGCAUGGCCGUCGUCAGCUCGUGUCGUGAGAUGUUGGGUUAAGUCCCGCAACGAGCGCAACCCUUUUGUUUAGUUGAAUUUCUCUAAAUAGACUGCCCUGGUAACAGGGAGGAAGGAGGGGAUGAUGUCAGGUCAGUAUUGCCCUUACGCCUGGGGCUACAAACACGCUACAAUGGCCGGUACAAAGGGCAGCCAACCCGCGAGGGGAGCAAAUCCCAUCAAAGCCGGUCUCAGUUCGGAUUGCAGGCUGAAACUCGCCUGC